UACGUAGGGUGCGAGCGUUGUCCGGAAUUAUUGGGCGUAAAGGGCUCGUAGGCGGUCUGUCACGUCGGGAGUGAAAACACGGGGCUUAACCCCGUGCCUGCUUCCGAUACGGGCAGACUAGAGGUAUGCAGGGGAGAACGGAAUUCCUGGUGUAGCGGUGAAAUGCGCAGAUAUCAGGAGGAACACCGGUGGCGAAGGCGGUUCUCUGGGCAUUACCUGACGCUGAGGAGCGAAAGCGUGGGGAGCGAACAGG
rnacentral:rRNA from 1 species